AGAAACACUUGGGAGGGUAUGUACCUGUGGACAAUCAGAGGAGCAACUUCAUUCCUAUGGAUCCCAAAUCAGAAUUCAACAUGUAUAUUUUAUACUAACACAGUUUAUACAUUGUUUAAAGGAAAACACCUGAGUACUAAUUGUAUGUUACUUGUUAACCUAAAACCAUGGGUGGAGACAUUAUGUAAUCUUUGACAAUUAGUUACUGUGCUUAUUUUGUCUUGCUGCUAGACCUAUCCAGGGGUUUGGGACUGCCUACCCUGUCAUUUCCCUCUGCCCAUGGAAAAUUCAUAUAAUCCAUUGUAAUCAAUUGUUUGGCUGUGUCUCUGAGCCUAAUAAACAAGGUGACACUCUGACAGCGCU